rnacentral:rRNA from 1 species
UACGUAGGGGGCGAGCGUUGUCCGGAAUUAUUGGGCGUAAAGAGCGUGUAGGCGGUUCGGUAAGUCUGCCGUGAAAACCUGGGGCUCAACCCCGGGCGUGCGGUGGAUACUGCCGGGCUAGAGGGUGGUAGAGGCGAGUGGAAUUCCCGGUGUAGCGGUGAAAUGCGCAGAUAGUCGGGAGGAACACCAGUAGCGAAGGCGGCUCGCUGGGCCAUUCCUGACGCUGAGACGCGAAAGCUAGGGGAGCGAACAGG